rnacentral:rRNA from 2 species
GCGCGUAAAUUGCCCGAAUCCUGACACAGGGAGGUAGUGACAAGAAAUAACAAUACAGGGCUCUUCGAGUCUUGUAAUUGGAAUGAGUACAAUUUACAUCUCUUCACGAGGAUCAAUUGGAGGGCAAGUCUGGUGCCAGCAGCCGCGGUAAUUCCAGCUCCAAUAGCGUAUAUUAAAGUUGUUGCAGUUAAAACGCUCGUAGUCGGAUUUCGGGGCGGUCCCGCCGGUCUGCCGAUGGGUAUGCACUGGCGGGGGCGCCCUUCCUCCCGGAGACGGCUGCUACUCUUAACUGAGCGGUGGCCGGAGACGGGAUAUUUACUUUGAAAAAAUCAGAGUGUUUCAAGCAGGCAGUCGCUCUUGCAUGGAUUAGCAUGGGAUAAUGAAAUAGGACUCUGGUGCUAUUUUGUUGGUUUCGAGCACCGGAGUAAUGAUUAACAGGGACAGUCAGGGGCACUCGUAUUCC